rnacentral:rRNA from 1 species
AUCGGAGAGUUUGAUCCUGGCUCAGGACGAACGCUGGCGGCGUGCCUAAUACAUGCAAGUCGAGCGGACAGAUGGGAGCUUGCUCCCUGAUGUUAGCGGCGGACGGGUGAGUAACACGUGGGUAACCUGCCUGUAAGACUGGGAUAACUCCGGGAAACCGGGGCUAAUACCGGAUGGUUGUUUGAACCGCAUGGUUCAAACAUAAAAGGUGGCUUCGGCUACCACUUACAGAUGGACCCGCGGCGCAUUAGCUAGUUGGUGAGGUAACGGCUCACCAAGGCGACGAUGCGUAGCCGACCUGAGAGGGUGAUCGGCCACACUGGGACUGAGACACGGCCCAGACUCCUACGGGAGGCAGCAGUAGGGAAUCUUCCGCAAUGGACGAAAGUCUGACGGAGCAACGCCGCGUGAGUGAUGAAGGUUUUCGGAUCGUAAAGCUCUGUUGUUAGGGAAGAACAAGUGCCGUUCGAAUAGGGCGGUACCUUGACGGUACCUAACCAGAAAGCCACGGCUAACUACGUGCCAGCAGCCGCGGUAAUACGUAGGUGGCAAGCGUUGUCCGGAAUUAUUGGGCGUAAAGGGCUCGCAGGCGGUUUCUUAAGUCUGAUGUGAAAGCCCCCGGCUCAACCGGGGAGGGUCAUUGGAAACUGGGGAACUUGAGUGCAGAAGAGGAGAGUGGAAUUCCACGUGUAGCGGUGAAAUGCGUAGAGAUGUGGAGGAACACCAGUGGCGAAGGCGACUCUCUGGUCUGUAACUGACGCUGAGGAGCGAAAGCGUGGGGAGCGAACAGGAUUAGAUACCCUGGUAGUCCACGCCGUAAACGAUGAGUGCUAAGUGUUAGGGGGUUUCCGCCCCUUAGUGCUGCAGCUAACGCAUUAAGCACUCCGCCUGGGGAGUACGGUCGCAAGACUGAAACUCAAAGGAAUUGACGGGGGCCCGCACAAGCGGUGGAGCAUGUGGUUUAAUUCGAAGCAACGCGAAGAACCUUACCAGGUCUUGACAUCCUCUGACAAUCCUAGAGAUAGGACGUCCCCUUCGGGGGCAGAGUGACAGGUGGUGCAUGGUUGUCGUCAGCUCGUGUCGUGAGAUGUUGGGUUAAGUCCCGCAACGAGCGCAACCCUUGAUCUUAGUUGCCAGCAUUCAGUUGGGCACUCUAAGGUGACUGCCGGUGACAAACCGGAGGAAGGUGGGGAUGACGUCAAAUCAUCAUGCCCCUUAUGACCUGGGCUACACACGUGCUACAAUGGACAGAACAA